rnacentral:misc_RNA from 1 species
AAAUUUUGUUUGCGUUCACUCUGACAUUCCUGUUCUCGUUUCUUGGUGUUGCCGUUACCCCCUUUUUUGUUGUUUCCAUCUCGUCUUUCGCUGCUUCCACACGCCCGCUCACUGCGCCCGUGACUCGUGCGUCCUCCCUCGUGGGUGUGUGUGCGUGUUUCUCUCCGUUCCUUUCUUCCCGUGGGCGUACGUGGGACUCCUAAUUCGCUUCUCUCUUCCCCUUCCUCCUCCUCCACUCCCCACCUUGUCCAAGUCCAUCAUUCAGCCUGUAGCUCCCUUCCGUUUGCGCGCGGCACUGCGUGGCCUCGCUCGCGCUGAUCCACGGAGAAACGCUCACCAGACAAACAAACGGGCAAAACGACCUGCUCGCCUUGUUCGCCGCCACGCACGCAACCGCCGCGUAGACCCCGUCACAGUUGUUGCGGUCAUUCACGCGACGACAUACCCCGCACGCACUUGAAAUACGGUCUAGGUAGCCACGCCCCCAUCAUCUCUAGCACAAGGAUAUAUAUAUAUAUAUAUAUGAGAGAGAGCGACAACAGCAGACCACACAUACCCACUUGAGCACACACGUUGUUGACACACACACACGCGCACCUCCCCUCCCUCCCCGACCCUUCAUUCUGCCGCUUCGUUUUCUCUUUGCUCUCCGUCUGCUCUAGUGUCUUCGCUGCCGCUUCAUCCACUGCUGCGCCUGUUGCUACGCUCUUGGUGUGGUAGCGGCCCGUAGUGGUGUCUGCGACACAGGGGCGUGUGUUUGUUUGUAUCUUCCCUCUCUCCUUUCCAUCUCCUUCCACUCCGCUGCUGCUGCUGCUGUCUAGCUCUCUUUCCUUCGCUCCCCUGUGUUCUCUCUCCUUUCCUCUCUCCCCUCUCUCUUCCGCCCCGCUUCUUCAUCUGUUUCGCCACGCUGUCGCCCUUCUCUCUCUCUGAGUGCGCUUCAGCUGUCUCUCCCCCCGUGCAUCCUUCCGAUCGCCCUCAAUCCCUUGUCCCUCCCUCCCUCCCUCUCUCCCGGCGUUCUUUGGGUGUCUCGCUUUCGUUUUGUUUUCACCUUCCUCAUUUUUGAUUCUUGUCGUCGUCGGUUGUGUGUGUGUGUGUGUGUGUGUGUGUUUGGGGAGAAAAGGGUCUAACGCAGCUGCUACGCAUCUCUCUCGACAACUCACUCUCGCCUCUCUCGUUUCUGUUUUGUUUUGUUUCCUCGUGUAGUCACAGGCAGCCGCGUGUUCCUCCGUUUGCCUGUCUCUCUUUCUCUCUCUGCGUGUCUGUGUGUGUGUGUGUGUGUGUGUGCAAGUGCAGGAGCAUGCGCCUGUGAGAGGACCAUCGAGCGAUCCGCGCCUUUGUUUUUUUUUUUUGGUUGUUGUGUGUGCUGCAUACCUCUCCCUCUUCAGACGAGGGAAAAGGUCCGGAAAAAAAGGGGCGAGCCGUUCAAGUCGAGCGUUGUUCCUCUCGACGUGCCUGUCUUAAAGUACGUGACGUUUAUAAAUACCUUGUCUCAUUUUCUUUUUCGCUUGUACUUGCGCGACACGAUCACGCGGAGCCGGCCACCACCAUCACUCCUUCGCGUCUUUCCCUCCGUCUCUGUCUGUUUCCCCUCCGCCCCUCUCGAGCCGCCCAUAAAACUCGUAGCACGAUCAGCACCAUUCGCCUAUACGUAGAGUCGGAUCCGCCUGUCUAUCUAUCGGUUGACUCGUUUAACUAAACUGCUUUUGCUUGGGCGCGUGUGCUGGCGUUGUGAGCUGUUUCACGUCGCCAACCAGAUCUGCUGAACAUCACUUCUUCCCUUGUAACGUGUCUCCGACGCGGUUUUUUUUUGUUUUUUUUUUUUGUUCUUCGUCGCACCUCCGCGCUCCUGCGUGCUGCGUAGCGCAACGAGUACAUCAUCUCCCUCCUCCAAGCUCUCCCUCACCCUCUACCCCGCGCAGACUCACCAGCCAUGUCACACAACGCCCGCCCCUCGCGGUACGCCGUGUCUCAGUCGAAAGCACGCAUCUUUGUUGGCCAGCUGGAGCCCUACGUCACGGAGCAGGACCUCUACCCCGUUUUCAGCUGCUAUGGCAAGAUCCUGCACCUCAACAUCGUCCGCCACUCCACCACCGUGACGCCCAACGAGGAGCGCCGCAUCCCAACGGCGUUUGUUUGGUACGAGACAACCACGGAGGCGGAUGCAGCCAUCGCCGCGUUGCACAAUGUGUUCACCUUCUCGUCACCAGACGAGGAGGAGAACAAGGUACGCUACAUCCAGGUGAGCUACGCGGACAAGAGCCCCGAGUGCACUCCGUGGGGGCGCUGGCAAAAGACGCAGGCGGAGAUCAUGCGCCGCACGAACCCGUCCGGCACCGGCACCGGAAGCAACAACAUGCCGGGGCAGUACUCCCACAUCACCGGCGGCGGCGCGAGUACCUACUCGUCGCCUGCCCUCAACAACGGCGGCGGCUUUACUGUGUCUGCGACUGGGCCAGCCAUCCGGUCCUCGGAGUCGAGCGGUGACAUCUCCUCGAUGCGCUACACGCGCAACCCGGCCCGUGGCCUUCGCGCCAUGGCCCCGCACAUCGACCACCCCGAAGUGCAGUACUACGGCAGCUACGACAACCUCUACAACCUCGGCAACCGCAACCAGCUCUACAGCAUGGGCGGUGCCGCCAACAGCAUGACGGGCUACACCAAGCAUCGCGGCAUGCCACCGCACGAGAGCGCCAGCAGCGGCGACCUCGGCCGUGGCUCGACGUCGUCCUUCUGGAACAUGAGCGAGGAAGUGAAGAAGAGCACCGCUGCGGACCCGAACCGGUUCCGCCACACUGCCCGCUACACCGCCCCGGAGCCCGACGAGGACCUCAUCAUGGCUGCGCCCACCUUUACAGUGACGAGUGGACCGUAAAGUAGCAGCGUGCAGUAGGAUAGUAAAGGGCGGUGCAGAAUCGAGCUCGGCAAGAGAGUGAUGAGGUCUCGCCGAUGAUGCGGUGACACCCUGCACCCGCUCCUUUCUGUUUUACCCUCUUCCUUUCCUUCGUGGGUGUGCCCAGUGAAUCUCCUGUCGGCUGACAAUCUUUCUCUCUCGCUCGCUCGCUGUCUUUUGUGUGCGCGCGUGCGUGUAUGCGAGACGCGCUCACCGCGCUGCUCACUUAGCACGACGUAGAAGGGGCCGUCGUAUGGGGUGGUGAGAGUGGGGGCGGGGGCGACAUCGCGGGGGCAGUCCAGUGCAUCAUCACGGCAUCUCUUGUUUUUUCAUGUCUCUCCUCUUUCCUUUUUCUUUUCCCCUCUUGUGUUCUCGAACCUACGUGUGAUUAGACGUGUACCUCAUCAUUGUUUUGUUUGGUCUUCUGUGGGGGAGAGAGGGGGGGCUCUUGGCGACUUCGUUACUCACCCACUCACGAAACGCGUCCCCAGUGCACGCCGAUGCGCAUGCAACUGCGUAUAGGGCACCGUGCGCUCCAGUGAGGCUGUGUAUGUGUACGUGUAUGUGUACUUGCAUAUGUCAAUCACUCCUUUCCUUUAUUUUUCUUGCGCUUCUCUGGCGUCCCUCCCUCCCUCCCUCACGUGUUGCGGUUGGUGAUGCGCUCAGACAACAAUGGCUUAAUACGUUAGGGCAACCAAGAGCCACACGCACACAAAGCGGGAAAGGGGCAAGGGGGAGGUAUCUUGGCGUUUGGUGCUCCUCCCACACCUCUCCCCGUCGUCCCCCCUCCCUCCCCCCCCCUCGGUGCUGCCGGUGUGUCUGCUACCCCAACCCCUGCCCCGCCUCUGUUCUUGGUCUCUUUUCUCACAUCCAUCGCCGCACCUGUUCUCUCGUGGUGCGAGGAUGGCUGGACACGUGCGUGCUCGUCGGCACACGGUGACAGAACUUGCGUCUCACCAUAGCUGCUGUAGUCGACGCCUGCUCCGGCACGGACGUGUGCGGUCACCGCCACCGCCACCGCCCUCCCAAGAAAAAGAUUCGUAAGCUUCGUUUUCUCAUGCCUUUAGGCGCUCCUCUCUCUUUUCGUUUUCGUUAUGUGGAAGUUAGUGACCCUUUAGUUGUCGUAUGGGAUGGCGGCUGUGAUUUGACCAACGUGCUUAUGGUGUAUGUGUUUCUGUGCGUGUGUGGUCGUGUGGCUGUGAUGCGUCUUCUCUGCAUGUGGGGUGUCGGUGACAUCCUGGAGAGAGAAGAGACAAACACGUAGCCACGCGAUAGACUUUCGGUGCCCCGUUUGCUACUACAGUCCAAGUUCGGAAGCAUGGGGCAGCCAUACCACACCAUACCACACCACACCACACGGGUGGUGGUCUGCUCAUGCUCACUUUAAGCGCGUGUAUUAUGUGAGCGCCUGUGAAGAAGUGCGUAGACGUGCUUAAGCCCUGCGCGCAGGUCUGUCAUAACUGGAGGCAGUAACAUGCAAUGCAACGAAGACGCAAUACCGCACUCGCGAACGAGAGCGAGAGGGGGCAUGGGAGAUGGGCAUCUUCGCUACUCUUUUUUUUUUAAUUGGCGCUGGCGCGUGAGGAGAACGGCAGCGGCUCGCAGUGCGGCGCUACCCUCGAUAGUGCGCGCCUUGGUUGCUUUGGUGCGUGGGCACGUGAGACGAUGGACGCCGCGAGGGCCCAAAGGUCCAUCACGGUGGGACCGAGCACUCUCUCCACCGCGCCUCCCCCCCCUUCGUCGUGCACUGGAGCUCUCCGCGUCUCUUCCUGGUAGCACAAGAGGAGAAACCUACGCAAAGGUGGACGCCAGAUGAGCCAUCUGUGCACGCAGCGUCUCUCUCUCCAUUAUUCAACGGCUGAUGCGUUUCGACUGAAGUGCCAAGCAAUGCACGCCAAGCCCUGUGUCGGCAUCCCCGCCAUCCGCCUCAACCCCCUGACCUUUCCCCCUGCUCCCACCCACCCAACCCUUGCCUCUCUCUCCUUAUGGUUUCGCUGGCGCAAUCGCAG